rnacentral:rRNA from 1 species
AGGGUUUGAUCAUGGCUCAGGAUGAACGCUGGCGGCGUGCUUAACACAUGCAAGUCGAACGAACCUUCGGGUUAGUGGCGGACGGGUGAGUAACGCGUGAGAAUCUGCCCUCAGGAGGGGGAUAACGGUUGGAAACGACCGCUAAUACCCCAUAUGCCUACUGGUGAAAUGAAUUUCGCCUGAGGAUGAGCUCGCGUCUGAUUAGCUAGUUGGUGAGGUAAUGGCUCACCAAGGCUUCGAUCAGUAGCUGGUCUGAGAGGAUGAUCAGCCACACUGGGACUGAGACACGGCCCAGACUCUUACGGGAGGCAGCAGUGAGGAAUUUUCUGCAAUGGGCGAAAGCCUGACAGAGCAAUACCGCGUGAGGGAUGACUGCCUACGGGUUGUAAACCUCUUUUCUCAAGGAGGAAGAUCUGACGUUACUUGAGGAAUAAGCAUCGGCUAACCCUGUGCCAGCAGCCGCGGUAAUACAGGGGAUGCAAGUGUUAUCCGGAAUUAUUGGGCGUAAAGCGUCUGCAGGUUGAUCUACAAGUCUUUUGUUAAAUUUUCAGGCUUAACCUGAAGUCAGCAAAAGAAACUGUUUAUCUUGAGUAUGGUAGAGGUAAGGGGAAUUUCCAGUGGAGCGGUGAAAUGCGUAGAUAUUGGAAAGAACACCAACAGCGAAGGCACCUUACUGGGCCAUUACUGACGCUCAUGGACGAAAGCCAGGGGAGCGAAAGGGAUUAGAUACCCCUGUAGUCCUGGCCGUAAACGAUGAACACUAGGUGUCGGGGGAAUCGACCCCUUCGGUGUCGUAGCUAACGCGUUAAGUGUUCCGCCUGGGGAGUACGCACGCAAGUGUGAAACUCAAAGGAAUUGACGGGGGCCCGCACAAGCGGUGGAGUAUGUGGUUUAAUUCGAUGCAACGCGAAGAACCUUACCAGGGUUUGACAUCCUGCGAACCUCUUAGAAAUUUGAGGGUGCCUUCGGGAAUGCAGUGACAGGUGGUGCAUGGCUGUCGUCAGCUCGUGUCGUGAGAUGUUCGGUUAAGUCCGGCAACGAGCGCAACCCCUGUCUUUAGUUGCCAUCAUUUAGUUGGGAACUCUAAAGAGACUGCCGGUGAUAAGCCGGAGGAAGGUGGGGACGACGUCAAGUCCUCAUGGCCUUUAUAUCCAGGGCUACACACGUGUUACAAUGGGGGUCACAAAGGGCAGCGAAACGGUGACGUGGAGCGAAUCCCAAAAAAGCCCUCUCAGUUCGGAUCGCAGUCUGCAACUCGACUGCGUGAAGCUGGAAUCGCUAGUAAUCGCGGAUCAGCACGCCGCGGUGAAUACGUUCCCGGGCCUUGUACACACCGCCCGUCACACCAUGGAAGUGUGUUGCACCAGAAGUAGGUAGUCUAACCUUCGGGAAGGCGCUUACCACGGUGUGAUCCAUGACUGGGGUGAAGUCAUAACAAGGUAACCGUA